rnacentral:rRNA from 1 species
UACGUAGGGUCCGAGCGUUGUCCGGAGUUACUGGGCGUAAAGCGUGCGCAGGCGGUUCGUCGUGUCCGAUGUGAAAGCCCCGGGCUUAACCUGGGAAUGGCCAUGGAAACUGGCGAACUGGAGUGUGGCAGAGGGGGGUGGAAUUCCGCGUGUAGCAGUGAAAUGCGUAGAUAUCGGGAGGAACACCAGUGGCGAAGGCGACUAUCUGGGCUGCAACUGACGCUGAGGCGCGAAGGCUAGGGUAGCAAACAGG